GGUUGGAUCAUUACUAAAUCCAACUCUUGAAGCUAGUAAUAGCUGAUGGAAAACUCAGAGUGGUAGGCUUUUACAGCUUAUCAUUCGACACACCUCUUGUGAACCAAAUUGUCUUUGGAGUUUGCAGACUAAGAGUUUAGGCUCAAGGAAAGCAGCUUCAAUCAAUAUAAACUUUAAUAGUCAGCCUUUUUAUUCAUAAUUCGAAAAGAUUACCUUUGGGUAGCCUCUAGAAAUAUAACAAUAAGAAAACAACUUUUGACAACGGAUCUCUUGGCUCUCGCAACGAUGAAGAACGCAGCGAAUUGCGAUAAGUAGUGUGAAUUGCAGAAUUUCGUGAAUCAUCGAAUCUUUGAACGCACAUUGCGCUUUCUGGUAUUCCGGAAAGCAUGCCUGUUUGAGAAUCGUUUAAACUUAUCAAACCCCUUUGGGGAAUGGAUGUGGGCCUUUUACCUUUCGAGGUAAGGCUUUAAAUUGAAUGACUUUCGCCAUUGUUUUUCUAGUUUAGCUGUAAAGUUUUACUGGGGCACAUAUUCAAACAAGUCUCUUAGCGUAUUAGGCUUUUAAGGCUACUCGCUUCUAGGUUUGGUGUGUCUUUUGUAUUGCCUAAAGUUAUAUUAUAAAGAUUCCGGUUGAGGGCUUUUAACCAAAACGAGAGUAUUUUACUACUCGACCUAAUUUUAUUAUCAAGGUCUCAAAUCAGGCAAGAUCACCCGCUGAACUUAAGCAUAUCAAUAAGCGGAGGAAAAGAAACUAACAAGGAUUCCCCUAGUAACGGCGAGUGAAGCGGGAAGAGCUCAAAUUUGAAAUCUCAUAGGGUUCCCCUGUGCGAAUUGUAGUUUCGAGAAGUGUUUUCAGAACAAGGCCAGGUAUAAGUCUCUUGGAAUAGAGCAUCAUAGAGGGUGAGAAUCCCGUCUAAUAUCUGGUUCACUGAUCUAUGUGAUACACUUUCAAAGAGUCGGUUUGUUUGGGAAUGCAGACCAAAAUGGGUGGUAAAUACCAUCUAAAGCUAAAUAACGGCGAGAGACCGAUAGCGAACAAGUACCGUGAGGGAAAGAUGAAAAGAACUUUGAAAAGAGAGUUAAAUAGUACGUGAAAUUGUCAAAAGGGAAACGAUUGAAACCAGUAUUUGUCCUUUUGAAGUAUAGGCCUUUCCUUUCGAGGAUUGGAUACUGCUUUAGUUGGAUGGUCAACAUCAGUUUGGCCUAAAGGAAAAAGCUUCAUGGAAGGUAGCCAUUUAUUUCGGUAGAUGGUGUUAUAGACUUGGAGGAAAUACUUUGGGCAUCAGACUGAGGAUCGCAGCUUUUUUUUGGGUUACUGGUCGCCCUUGGAGUGAGAGUGAAUAGACAGCUUGCUGACUACCGCUUGUUCAUACUGAGGUACGGUCAACUAACCACAACCAUUGCUUAGGAUGUUGACGAAAUGGUUUUAAAACGACCCGUCUUGAAACACGGACCAAGGAGUCUAACAUAUAUGCGAGUAUUUGGGUGUUUCAAACCCCAUCUGCGCAAUGAAAGUGAUAAGGUGGGAUCCCUUUUCCUUCGGGGAAGGGUGUGCACCAUCGACCGGUCUGGACUCUUUUUAAGUGAAAGAUCUGAGUAAGAGCAUAUCUGUUGGGACCCGAAAGAUGGUGAACUAUGCCUGAAUAGGGUGAAGCCAGAGGAAACUCUGGUGGAGGCUCGUAGCGGUUCUGACGUGCAAAUCGAUCGUCAAAUUUGGGUAUAGGGGCGAAAGACUAAUCGAACCAUCUAGUAGCUGGUUCCCUC
rnacentral:misc_RNA from 1 species